rnacentral:rRNA from 1 species
CCUACGAGCGGCAGCAGUGAGGAAUAUUGGUCAAUGGACGAGAGUCUGAACCAGCCAAGUAGCGUGAAGGAUGACUGCCCUAUGGGUUGUAAACUUCUUUUAUAUGGGAAUAAAACAGGGUAUGCAUACCCUCUUGUAUGUACCAUAUGAAUAAGGAUCGGCUAACUCCGUGCCAGCAGCCGCGGUAAUACGGAGGAUCCGAGCGUUAGCCGGAUUUAUUGGGUUUAAAGGGAGCAUAGGUGGAUUGUUAAGUCAGUUGUGAAAGUUUGCGGCUCAACCGUAAAAUUGCAGUUGAGACUGGCAGUCGUGAGUACAGUAGAGGUGGGCGGAAUUCGUGGUGUAGCGGUGAAAUGCUUAGAUAUCACGAAGAACACCGAUUGCGAAGGCAGCUCACUGGACUGCAACUGACACUGAGGCUCGAAAGUGUGGGUAUCAAACAGGAUUAGAUACCCCAGUAGUC